rnacentral:lncRNA from 1 species
AGUUUUUUUUGGCCACUUCGUCCGUCUGGCUCAGCUCACAUCCUCUCAGUCUGCUUGCCCAACUCACAUCCUCUCACUCGGCUUGUUUCACACCCUUGGCUUUCCAUUCCACUUGGCCACAUCAUCUUAUACAUAUCACUCACAUCCUCUCACUCCACUUGCUUCACAUCCUUAGCUUUCCAUUCCACUUGGCCACAUCCUCUUAUACAUAUGAGCGUAGUGCUGCUUCAAGUACACAUCCUCUGGAUACACAUCGUAGCGGUAGCGGUCCUUCAAGUACAUACCCUCUAUUCGGCACAUAUCCUCCUACUACCGUUUCACUCUCUAUUGGUAUACAUCCUCUCCCACUAUAUUUGAGCCCUUCCUCCUUGAUACUUAGUAUUAGGCACACAUCUCUUCCACUACAUAUGAGGCCCUUCCGCCUUCAUACUUAGUAUUGGGUACACAUCCUCCCACUAGAUAUCAGUCACUUCCUCUUGAUAUUACGUGAUUAAGGUAUUAGAAUAGAAUUUAGAAAUGAAGAACUUAAUGCAAAGUUUGAUAUAUGAUAAUUAUGCAGGUGAUAAGAUUGAUAAUAUUAUAUUAUAAUAUGUGACGAUUAUGGGGUAGUUAGAUUGAUGAUAUUAUACUGAGGGAUUAGAGUGAAUGAAGAAGCUAAUGUAAACAUUGAUAUAUUAUGGUUAUAUGGUUACGUGAGAAACUAUAUAAACAUUGAUAUAUUAUGGCUAUAUGGUUAUGUGAGAAACUAUUUAAUAUAAAGUGAUGAUUAUAUGAGGAAC